GCCUUUGUGGUGUAGUGGUUAGCACGCUCGACGCGUAACCGAGAGUUCUGUGGUUCGAAUCCCAGUGAGGCG
rnacentral:tRNA from 1 species